UCCCGUGUGGUCUAGUAGUUAGGAUACGCAGCUCUUACCCGCGAGGCCCGAGUUCGAUUCCCGACACGGGAA